GUGACCUCAGCUCAGGCGAGAUCACCCACUUAUUUUAAGCAUAUAAUUAAGAACAUGACACAAACUUACAAGGAUUCCCCUAGUAGCGGUGAGCAAACCGGGAAGAGCCCAACAUGAAAAUCGGGCAACAGUGUCGCUUGACUUGUAGUCUGUAGAAGCAUCCUCAGUGGCAGACUUGGGCCAAGUCCCUUGGAAGGGGGUUCCUAAGAGGGUGAUAGCCCCAUUCGGCCAGGACCCUACCGCAUCAUGAGGCAUUGUCGGCGAGUCAGGUUGUUUGGGAAUGCAACCCUAAUUGGGUGGUAAAUUCCAUCCAAGGCUAAAUACAGGUGAGAGACCGAUAGCAAACAAGUACCACAAGGGAAAGAUGAAAAGGACUUUGAAAAGAGAGUUAAAGAGUGCUUGAAAUUGCUGGGAAGGAAGUAGAUGGAGGCUGUAGAUGCAUCUCGGUCAGAUGUGGAAUCGCUCAGGCUAGUCCACCGCUCUACUUUGGGUACAAACGAACACGGGCCACUGCAUCAUCACAAGCAUUGGUGGAUUACUACCUAUUAGUUUGCCAUUACAGUGGUCGAGGAACGAAGUGUGUGCCCUUGUGGCAGGCCAUGUGCACCUGCGCGCUCGUCGUGUUGGUUGGUGGGAUUUCCAUUCAACCCAUCUUGAAAUGCAAACCAUGGAGUCUAACAUGUGUGCGGAUCAGUGGGUUUGAAAACCUGUGAGGCGUAAGGAAACUAAUGGGUGAGAUCCCCUCUCUGAGGGGUGCAUCGUCGAUCGACCUUGAGCUUAUGCAAAGGGUUCGAACGUGAGCACACCUGUUGGGACCUGAAAGAUGGUGAACUAUGCCUAGGUAGGGUAAAGCCAGAGGAAACUCUGGUGGAGGCUCGUAGUGAUACUGAUGUGCAAAUCGUUUGUCUGAUUUGGGUAUAGGGGCGAAAGACUAAUCGAACCAUCUAGUAGCUGGUUUCCUCCGAAGUUUCCCUUAGGAUAGCUGGAGCUCACGUGCGAGUUUUAUCGAGUAAAGAAAAUGAUUAGAGGCUUCAGGGGCAUAAUUCCAUCGAACUAUUCUCAAAGUUUAAAUAGGUAAGAGGGUGUGGCUGCUCUAUUGAGCCGUGCUGUGGAAUCGAGAGCUCCAAGUCAGCCAUUUUUUGUAAGUAGAAUAGGUGAUGUGGGAUGAACCAAAAUUUGAGUUACGGUGUCAAAUUGUGCGCCAACCUAUAUCCCACAAAGCGUGUUGGUUGAUUAAGACAGCAAGAUGGUGGUCAUGGAAGUCGAAAUCCGCUAAGUGUGUAACAAUUCACCUACCGAAUCAACUAGCCCUGAAAAUGGAUGACACUGAAGCACACAACCUAUACUCGACCGUCGAAGCAAUUUCCUAGCUCCGAUGAGUAGGAGGAUGCAGGGGUCAUUGAGAAACCUCGAGUCUGAGCUUGGGUGGAUCAGUCCCCGAUGCAGAUCUUGGUGGUAGUAGCAAAUAUUCAAAUGAGAACACUGAAGACUGAAGUGGGGAAAGGUUCCAUGUGAACAACACUUGGACAUGGGUUAGUUGAUCCUAAGAGAUGGUGAAGCCUUCUAUCAAGGGUGCACUCUGCACGAGCGUCGAAAGGGAAUCAGGUUAAUAUUCCCGAACCGGGACAUGGCAGUGGGUGGCAAUGUUAGGAAAUCUAGAGACAUCGUUGGGGGCCCUGGGAAGAGUUAUCUUUUAUUUUUAACAGCUUGCCCACCCUAGAAUUAGCACACCCAGAGAUAGGUUCCAGCAGCUGGAAGAGCACCGCACAUCUUAAGGUGUCCGGUGUGCCCUUGGUGGCCCUCGAAAAUCUGGAGGACCGAGUACUUUCAAGCCUGGUCGUACUCAUAACUGCAUCUGGUCUCCAAGGUGAGAAACCUCUUGUCAAUAGAACAAUGUAGGUAAGGGAAGUCGGCAAAAUGGAUCCGUAACUUUAGGAAAAGGAUUGGCUCUAAGGGCUGCGCCUAGGGGUCUAUGCCCUUAACUCAUGGGUUGUCGGCAGUCUGCCCGAGCUGCUCACGCGGCAAGGGAAAGUAGUCGUGUGCCGAUUGGGAUGCGGGAGUAGAAUUCCCCUUGCUGGGGGAUUUUCCCUAGGCAUUGAAGAAUUGACUCAGAACUAGUACGGCCAAGGAAAUCGUACAGUUUAAUUAAAAAAAAGCAUUGCGAUGGUCCCUAUGGAUGUUGAUGCAAUGUGAUUUCUACCCAGUGCUCUGAAUGUCAAAGUGAAGAAAUUCAACCAAGUGCGGGUAAACGGUGGGAGUAACUAUGACUCGCUUAAGGUAGCCAAAUGCCUCGUCAUCUAAUUAGGGACGUGCAUGAAUGGACUAACGAGAUUCCCACUAUCCCUACCUACUAUCUAGCAAAACCAUAACCAAGGGAAUGGGCUUGGCAAAAUUAGCGGGGAAAGAAGACCCUAUUGAGCUUGACUCUAGUCUGACUUUGUGAAAUGACUUGAGAGGUGUAGAAUAAGUGGGAGCCAUUUUUGGUGCAAGUGAAAUACUACUACUUUAAUGUUAUUUUACUUAUUCCAUGGGGCAGAUAUGGGGCACUGCCCUUGUUUUUAGCCUUAAGGCAUGUUUCGGUAGGUUGAUACGGGUAGAAGACAUUGUUAGGUGGGGAGUUUGGCUGGGGCGACGCAUCUGUUAAAUGAUAACCCAGGUGUCCUAAGAUGAGCUCAACGAGAACAGAAAUAUCAUGUGGAACAAAAGGAUAAAAGCUCAUUUGAUUUUAAUUUUCAGUAUAAAUACAAAUCGUGAAAGCGUGGCCUAUCGAUCCUUUAGAUUUUUGGAAUUUGAAGCUAGAGGUGUCAGAAAAGUUACCAUAGGGAUAACCAUCUUGUGGCGGCCAAGCGUUUAUAGCAACGCUACUUUUUGAUCCUUAAAUGUCGGCUCUUCCUAUCAUUGUGAAGCAAAAUUCACCAAGUGUUGGAUUGUUCACCCACCAAUAGGGAAUGUGAGUUGGGUUUAGAUUGUCGUGAGACAGGUUAGUUUUACCCUACCGAUGAACCGCACUGCAAUAGUAAUUCAACUUAGUAUGAGAGGAACCGUUGAUUCACACAAUUGGUCAUCGUGCUUGGUUGAAAAGCUAAUGGCAUGAAGUUAUCGUGUGUCAAAUUAUGACUGAACACCUCUAAGUUAGAAUCCACGCUAGAAGCGGUGCAUGUCACUCUUUGAUUGUAUCUCGACCUGCAGUAGGGUUGUCUCUUUGUCACCCCCAGGGGCCCCUAUCAUUUGCAAACCACAACUCUGAAGCAUCUCGGUUGGGGAAACUUUGAAGUUCACUUCCAAAUGGUCAUUGAGAAGAAU
rnacentral:rRNA from 1 species